rnacentral:tRNA from 1 species
ACUAUUUUGGCAGAUAAGUGCAAUGGAUUUAGAAUCUAUAUAUGUAGAAGUAAUUAUAUUCUAUAAGUAGUA